rnacentral:tRNA from 1 species
GCCUCUAUAGCUCAGUGGUAGAGCGUUCCACUCGUAAUGGAAAGGUCUGGUGUUCAAUCCACCAUUGAGGCA